ensembl:lncRNA
CUCCAUCACACCUCUUCCCUAAAGACCCCUUUGCUCCCUCAGAUGGUAACGCCAACGCAUCGCCUUCAGGUGCAGACCUUUUUGGCCUGAUGACGGUGGAGAAUAAUAACCCGGGCAGUCCGCUGGACACCUGUUUUAGCGCUGUGCUGCCCCAGCUCUCCCCCUCCCCUUCCCCUUCACCGCUCUUCACCUCCACCUCCUCCAGCACCAUCACCACCAUUGCAACCAUUUCAGCUCCCGUAGCCCCCAGCAGCACCAACCCAUCGACCGACCUUUUCAGCGAUCUCUUUGAUUCCUUGCCAGACACAAGCUUCACCAAAGCAGACCCCGCUCCCGGUGUUGACUUGUUUACAGCAGCAGAUGUUUUCAGCUCCCCUGCCCCCAACCUCUCCUCCACAACCCCAUCCAAAACUGACACAGGAGCCUUCAUGAACCUGUUUGGUGGUGGGUAA